GACGGAGGGUGCAAGCGUUGUUCGGAUUGACUGGGCGUAAAGGGCGCGUAGGCGGUUGCCCAAGUCCGAUGUGAAAGCCCGAGGCUUAGCCUCGGAAGUGCAUCGGAAACUAGGCAGCUGGAGCGCGAUAGAGGAGGGUAGAAUUCCUGGUGUAGCGGUGAAAUGCGUAGAUAUCAGGAGGAAUACCGGCGGCGAAGGCGGCCCUCUGGAUCGUUGCUGACGCUGAGACGCGAAAGCGUGGGGAGCAAACAGG
rnacentral:rRNA from 1 species